ACCAUCCUAAGGUAGCGAAAUUCCUUGUCGGGUAAGUUCCGACCUGCACGAAUGGAGUAACGACUUCCCUACUGUCUCAACCAUGAACUCGGCGAAAUUGCAGUACGAGUAAAGAUGCUCGUUUCGCGCAGCAGGACGGAAAGACCCCGUGACCUUUACUAUAGUUUGGUAUUGGUGUUUGGUUUGGCUUGUGUAGGAUAGGUGGGAGACUGUGAAGCAUGGACGCUAGUUUGUGUGGAGUCGUUGUUGAAAUACCACUCUGGUCAAUCUGGAUGUCUAACUUCGGGCCAUGAUCUGGUUCAGGGACAGUGCCUGAUGGGUAGUUUAACUGGGGCGGUUGCCUCCUAAAGUGUAACGGAGGCGCCCAAAGGUUCCCUCAGCCUGGUUGGCAAUCAGGUGUUGAGUGUAAGUGCACAAGGGAGCUUGACUGUGAGACUGGCAGGUCGAGCAGGGACGAAAGUCGGGACUAGUGAUCCGGCGGUACGUUGUGGAACGGCCGUCGCUCAACGGAUAAAAGGUACCUCGGGGAUAACAGGCUGAUCUUGCCCAAGAGUCCAUAUCGACGGCAUGGUUUGGCACCUCGAUGUCGGCUCGUCGCAUCCUGGGGCUGGAGUCGGUCCCAAGGGUUGGGCUGUUCGCCCAUUAAAGCGGUACGCGAGCUGGGUUCAGAACGUCGUGAGACAGUUCGGUCCCUAUCCGCUGCGCGCGUUGGAAAUUUGAGAAAGGCUGUCCUUAGUACGAGAGGACCGGGACGGACGAACCUCUGGUAUGUCAGUUGUACCGCCAGGUGCAUGGCUGAUUGGCUACGUUCGGGAGGGAUAACCGCUGAAAGCAUCUAAGCGGGAAGCCUGUUUCGAGAUGAGAUUUCCUGGCACUUUGGUGUGUGAGGCUCCUUAUAGAUGAUGAGGUUGAUAGGCCGGGUAUGGAAGCGGGGACUGAAGACUCGUGGAGUUGACUGGUACUAAUAGGCCGAAGGCUUACUUU
rnacentral:rRNA from 2 species